rnacentral:rRNA from 1 species
CGGAGGGAUCAUUACUGAGUUUACGCUCUAUAACCCUUUGUGAACAUACCUAUAACUGUUGCUUCGGCGGGUAGGGUCUCCGUGACCCUCCCGGCCUCCCGCCCCCGGGCGGGUCGGCGCCCGCCGGAGGAUAACCAAACUCUGAUUUAACGACGUUUCUUCUGAGUGGUACAAGCAAAUAAUCAAAACUUUUAACAACGGAUCUCUUGGUUCUGGCAUCGAUGAAGAACGCAGCGAAAUGCGAUAAGUAAUGUGAAUUGCAGAAUUCAGUGAAUCAUCGAAUCUUUGAACGCACAUUGCGCCCGCCAGCAUUCUGGCGGGCAUGCCUGUUCGAGCGUCAUUUCAACCCUCAAGCUCUGCUUGGUGUUGGGGCCCUACAGCUGAUGUAGGCCCUCAAAGGUAGUGGCGGACCCUCCCGGAGCCUCCUUUGCGUAGUAACUUUACGUCUCGCACUGGGAUCCGGAGGGACUCUUGCCGUAAAACCCCCAAUUUUCCAAAGGUUGACCUCGGAUCAGGUAGGAAUACCCGCUGAACUUAAGCAUAUCAAUAAGCGGAGGAAAAGAAACCAACAGGGAUUGCCUCAGUAACGGCGAGUGAAGCGGCAACAGCUCAAAUUUGAAAUCU